AUGCAAGUCGAGCGGAUGAGUGGAGCUUGCUCCAUGAUUCAGCGGCGGACGGGUGAGUAAUGCCUAGGAAUCUGCCUGRUAGUGGGGGACAACGUUUCGAAAGGAACGCUAAUACCGCAUACGUCCUACGGGAGAAAGCAGGGGACCUUCGGGCCUUGCGCUAUCAGAUGAGCCUAGGUCGGAUUAGCUGGUUGGUGAGGUAAUGGCUCACCAAGGCGACGAUCCGUAACUGGUCUGAGAGGAUGAUCAGUCACACUGGAACUGAGACACGGUCCAGACUCCUACGGGAGGCAGCAGUGGGGAAUAUUGGACAAUGGGCGAAAGCCUGAUCCAGCCAUGCCGCGUGUGUGAAGAAGGUCUUCGGAUUGUAAAGCACUUUAAGUUGGGAGGAAGGGCAGUAAGCUAAUACCUUGCUGUCUUGACGUUACCGACAGAAUAAGCACCGGCUAACUUCGUGCCAGCAGCCG
rnacentral:rRNA from 1 species